GAGGCUUUGCAGCCUUGCUGAUGCUGGGAAGAAGCUGUGAAAAGACAUUUCUCUGUGGGGAAUGCCCUUGGCUCCCACUGCAUACCAUUCACUUCAGGCCUGAGUAGGAGACAGACAUUGACAUCACCCAGUCCUCUGCAGUGUAACCUGCUGGGAGGAUUCCAAGGACCUUCAAGAGAAUGGUUCUGCUGCUCUGACGGAUUCCUGACAGAUACGCUGACCACAAGAGGCAUGAGACCUGAAUAAAUGAGAGGAGGCUUAUUAUGGUUCUUGUGUGUGCUUUUGCAAGGAGUUCUUCAGGCUGUGUUUGAGGAGGCCUCCUCCAGGGCCUCCAUCCAACAGCCAGACAAAUGAACCGUUUUGGAAGCAGAUCCUGUAGCCCCAGACAAGCCUUUAGAAGAAUGCAGCCCUGGCCAACCUGUUGGAUAUAACCUCAUGAGAGACCCCCAGCUGCCAAGCAGACUGGAUAUUUGUGUUCAGGGGCCCUGGAUGGAGGGACCCACUGAAAAGUCCUAGUGUUUUGACUUCCCACCUACAAGACUGCAAUACAGCCAGUUCCUGGUAUCCAUAGGAUUUCUUCAGAGAAGAAGAAAACUGUCAGGUCUCAAAUUUUCAUGCUAGUGUUAUAAUACAGCAAGAUUUCUGUCAUACUGUGUAUCCUGGGUAUCUUGAAUGGACUUCAGUACUUUCGAAUCCCUGCAGCUUGACAUUUCCAUGAAUUAAUUUCUACGUUUAACUAAUCUCAUCCAUUAUGCAUUAACUCUUAUUAAUUUCAUUCUUAGAAAUGGUUACAUUAUAGGUUUUGGGGGAUCUGGGCUUUCCUUCUAAUAUUAGUUACAUAGUUUUGGGCACUCUGUCCACUGCCUCACUGCCUGUAAAUACUAACUGAUAAUUAUCCUUUUAAGCAGUGCUUUUCAGGCCACUGCAUUAGUGUGUCAUAAAAUCAAAUUAGUUUGCUGACUGGUGCUUUAAAAAUUGAAAUAGAAUAGAAAAUAUCAGGAUGCGUGGCACAGACUGGUAAAUAUUGUUUUGCAUGCAUUCUGUGUACUAAGUUGUGAUGUAAAUAAAAUUUUUUUCUGAUUCUGGGUCAAGGUUAAAACAAUUUUAUAAACCAUUCCCUAGAAUCCAGACAUUCAUCCUCUGCCUUUGAGAGAAAAUGUUCUUUGUGAAUGAAAAUGUUAGAGAAUUUAUUUAAAUAAACCCUUUGCUGUGUUAUUGAGGGGACAGUAUAUACUCUGUGUCGGAGGCCUGCAGAAACGUCCUAUAUUGGAAAGUGUGUGA